rnacentral:tRNA from 1 species
AGGGGUAUAGCUCAGUGGUAGUGCACAUGCUUGUUGUGCAUGAGGUCCUGGGUUCAAUCCCCAGUGUCUCCA